rnacentral:lncRNA from 1 species
AGACUAAAGACUGAAGUCUGAGCAAUACAUAAAUAAGCAAGCAAAAUAGAAUCCAUUGGAAAAAUCACAUCUGUCAUGGUCAUUAAUAUUCUUCUCCAAAGGUUCCAUCUGUCAAAAAUGGGGAAAUGUGACCCAGUAUAAAUAGGAUGAGGUAUUUUCAUUGGUACUUGUGGUCUACCCUGGCUUGCUGCUGCUCCCAAGGGGAGACAGAAGUUCUGUUCAACACAGUUGGAAAGUUUCUGGACUCCAAGUGUCAAACCAGGAUCCUCAUUUAAAUUGCAUUCUCUCACUUUUGUUUGAACUAAAGCUUGUGUUCAUCUUGAGCCAA